GAUGAACGCUGGCGGCGUGCCUAAUACAUGCAAGUCGAGCGAACAGACGAGGAGCUUGCUCCUCUGACGUUAGCGGCGGACGGGUGAGUAACACGUGGAUAACCUACCUAUAAGACUGGGAUAACUUCGGGAAACCGGAGCUAAUACCGGAUAAUAUAUUGAACCGCAUGGUUCAAUAGUGAAAGACGGUUUUGCUGUCACUUAUAGAUGGAUCCGCGCCGCAUUAGCUAGUUGGUAAGGUAACGGCUUACCAAGGCAACGAUGCGUAGCCGACCUGAGAGGGUGAUCGGCCACACUGGAACUGAGACACGGUCCAGACUCCUACGGGAGGCAGCAGUAGGGAAUCUUCCGCAAUGGGCGGAAGCCUGACGGAGCAACGCCGCGUGAGUGAUGAAGGUCUUCGGAUCGUAAAACUCUGUUAUUAGGGAAGAACCAAUGUGUAAGUAACUAUGCACGUCUUGACGGUACCUAAUCAGAAAGCCACGGCUAACUACGUG
rnacentral:rRNA from 1 species